CUUCUCUGCAUAUCAGUUCAUAUUGAUCAACAAACUUUUUUCCGAUUCUAUGCAUGGCGUAUACAUGAUACAGCAUAUAAUCCAGCUUUUCUGAGGUAAGGUGUUUUAUUUACUACUCAGCAGUUUGUCUAUUGUUUUAUGUUAUUUUAACAGUCCUAAAACAUCCAGUUACGGAGUUCCUUAGUGUUAACCUAAUUUCAUGCAUGUGAUUUUCAUUUGUUUCAAAAUGGUACUAAUUGAAACAAGUGUUCAGUGUAUGGUGCAGUAUUAUAGUCAUAAAGUACACUUUAUCCAAUAUCUGUAAAUGCAUAGGAAUGCAAUGUAAAACUUCAAUGUAUUUGUGGAGUCUUUCCAAUAGACAAAAGUAUAAAUGUAUUGUCUUAAACAGAAGAUAUGUCCAGAAUGUGUUAUCUACAAAUAAGAUAAUGUUGUGUGUGUAUUUAUGUGUAAUGUAACGCCACUCAGUGCGUAUAAGUAAUUUAUUACAGUUUAUGGAUGUGUAUCAAAACGGGUCCUCUCCCUGUGGUCUACUACAGUUAUCCUGAUGUAACCAGUGUAUGCAUGAUGUGUAGAGUAAUCGUAUAGUACAAGAACAACCAAACUCCAGGAGUGGGUACACCGGUCAAACCCCACAGAGGUCUAAGCUAAUGAGUCAAGAUCAUGGACAUUUGUGGAAUAUGGACCAUGUUGAUUAGGAUAGAUCAUACAUAAUAACAUUUUUAUAUCUACAUUGUGACUUUGUAAUGUGUUAGCUUAAAAUGGUUACAGCCAUCUCGUCCAUCUGUAAUAGUGACUAGUAAAUUAUUAGAACUAUAGUUGUUAGGCCUUCAACUCUACAUUUAGAUAUAUCGACGACGUUUUACCUAUUAACAACAUCAUUUUCAUUCAGAUAUGGAUUCGAAAUAUCCAAACAAAUUUGAAAUAAAAGACACUACAUAUACCUCUACACCUGCUUCGUACUAAAAUAUUUUAUUGAAAAUAGAUCUUAACGACAAACUAAUGACACACGAAAUGUGUUCAGCUUCUUCUUCAACUUCCCUUAUCUACAUGACAUGUAGGAACUAGUCCAUUAUCACCUGUAUAUGAUUUUUAUAUAUCUUAACUAAUUCGAUACCGAAAACCUUGCUCUCCGUAUGCUCUUUUUUAGUCAAGGCAGGCUUCUUACAAACAAGUUGAUAUUACAGGAGUUUCAACAGUCUUGUUUAAAGUUAAUAUUUCGCAAAUUAUAUGCUCGUUAUAACGAUCUAAUUUGCCAAUACAACCUGCUGUUUAAUCAAAUUAUAUCUAAUGCGUUUCGUACUAAUUGUUAGGCCAUUUUUUACACACUGGUGUUGAAUGCGGAUCGCUCCAUUUAUAGGGCCUAUGGUAUAUGUGACCGGUCGACACGGGAUGCUUAGUCGGUCAAUAGGGAAUGCUUACUUUUCUUUAACACCUGUUCCCAUAGUUGGUUUACCCAGGGAUCCGUGUUUGACCCAUCUCUUAAUUUUGUAUUGCUUAUAAUAGAUAUAAGAUUCAUCACUGUUUGACAUUGUUCAUUAUCUUCACCUCCUCUGCAUACAAAUACUUGUUAUGUAUAUAGAUAUACUUACAGUGUCUCUAGCUUCGUCAAUGCAUCAAAAAUUCCAUUUGGUAAUGUUGUUAUGGCAUUGCUACUCAAGUCUCUGAAUCAAAAAUAUUUCCUGAUUAACCUUAAUUGACCAACGCUCCAAUGAUGAAAUAUAUAAUAUUCUAAAAUGAUUAAAUAGGCGAAAGCAUGAUAUUUGCCUUAAAUUUGGUUUUAAAGAAGUGAUACAAUUCCACCGUGGACGAUUUUUCUAUUUUCUAAUAAUAGAUAUAUCCAUUAAAACUUGUAGAUCAAAAAUUAUUCAGUCAUCUUGAAAUAAAAACAUCACAUCAUUCUCUAUCUGUGUAUUAUAUUUAAAUAUCUUUCUUUAUUGAUUUGGGACGAUAAUGGUAAACAAACACAUAAGGUUUAUGGCAGCUAGGAUAAAUUAUGGUCCGCCACCAUCAACUUCCUAUAACCAUCUAUUUUGUAUUGCUUGUAGGAGUUAUGAGAUUGAUCACUGUUCGUUGUCUUCACCUUGCAUGUAUGUAGAAAUAUUCCACUAUCACCUGGAAUGAUAUCUACGCCGUCCAACUGAUUCAAUAAACAAGCGCAUGUUCUGCGUAUGAUCGAUUUGGUUUGUAAUUUCCCAUUAGCCCAAAUCAAAUUCCCAAGUUAUAAUUUAUAUAGGUGUACGGGUGGCAACACCUUAGAGGCAAAUUUACAUUAUAAUGAGAACUAAUGUUAAAAAGUAACUAGUAAUAAGUCAGAAGUAUAGUUGCUAGGCCGUCAACUCUAGCUAUCGAGAUACCAACACCCUUUUACCUAUUAACAAAAUCAUUUUCAAUCUUAUGUGGAUUGGAGAUUUCCACAUGAACUUCAAAUAAAAAACCCACUACAUAUACAUCUACAUCUGCUUUGUACUUAGUUAUUCUAUUGAAAAUACAUCUUUACGACAAACUAACGACACACGAAAUUAUUUCAGCUUCUCCAUCAGCUUCCAAUAUCUACAUAACAUGUAGGAGUAUCCCAUUCUAACCUGUAUAUGAUGUUUAAUAUCUCAACUGAUUCGAUACCCAAAACCUUGUUCUCCUUAUGAUCUGUUUUAUUGUGGCAGGUUUCUGACAAAUAAUAGGAAGUUGAAAUACAGAAGUUUCAACAGUUUCAUUUAUGGUCACCAUUUCGGAAAUUAUAUGCUCGUUAUAACGAUCUAAUUUACCAAUGUAAUAUGCAGUUGAGUCAAAUUAUGUAUAAUGUGUUUCAUACUAUAUGUUAGGCCAUUCUUUACACACUGAUUUUGACUGCGGAUCACUCCGCUUAUAGAGCUCAUGGUAGAUGUGACCAGUGGACAGGGGAUGCUUUGUCGGUCGAUAGGGAAUGCUUACUUUUCUUAAACACCUGUCCCCAUGUCUUGUUUACCCAGGGGUUCAUGUUUCUCCAAUUCUUAAUUUUGCAUUGCGUAUACUAGAUAUAAGAUUUAUCACUGCUCAACACUGUUCAUUAUCUUAAUCUUCUCUGCAUACAAAUAAUUGUUUUGUAUAUACAUAUACUUACAGUAUCACUAACUUCGUCAAUGCAUCAAAGAUUCCAUUUGGUAACGUUGCUAUUUUAUUUUCCCAGAAAUAUUUAAAUUAAAAAAAAAUUCUGAUUAACCUUAAUUGAUCAACACUCAAAUGAUGAAAUAAAUCAUUUUCUAAACUGAUCCAAUCUGCGACAGCAUAUUUUGCACUAAAUUUGGUUUGAAACAAGUAAUAUGAAUAUAUCACGAACGGUUAGUCAAUUAUCUAAUAAUUAUAUUUUGUUUUAAACGUGUUGAUCAGAAAUUAUCCAGUCAACUCGAAAUGAAAACAUCACAGAAUUCUCUAUCUGUGUUUUAUAUUUGAAUCUCAUUUUUAUUGAUUUGGGACGUAAAUCGUAAACGAACACAUAAGUUUUAUGGCAGCUAAGAAAAAAAUAAGCUCCGUUACCAUCAACUUCCUAUAUGUAUGUUACAGUAUUUCACUAUCAUAUGUGUAUGAUAUCUGCGUCGCCCAAGUGAUUCCAUAAACAAGUGCAUCUGUGUAUAAUUGAUUUUGGUUUUUAAUUUCUCAUUGACCCAAAAGAAAUUCCCAAGUUAUAGUUUAUAUAGAUGUACGGGGAACAACACCUUUAGUGCAAAUCUGCAUUAUAAUUACAACCAAUGUUGAAAAGUGACUAGUUUCUCAGAACUACAGUUGUUAGGCUUUCAUCUUUACAUUUAGAUAUAUCGACGACGUUUUACCUAUCAACAAAAUCAUUUCAUUCAUAUGUAGAGUUGAUAUUUCCACAUGAACUUGAAAUACAAACACCACAUAUACCUCUACAUAUAUUUCGUACUUAGAUAUUUUAUUGAAUAUAAAACUUAACGGCAAACUAAUGACACACGGAAUGAUUUCAGCUUCCCCUCAACUUCCCAUAGCUACAUGACAUGUAGCAGUAUUCCAUUAUCAACUGUAUAUGAUGUUUAUAUAUCUCAACUUAUUCGAUAUGCAGAACCUUGCUCUCCUUAUAUUUUUUUUAAUCAAGGCAGGAUUCUUACAAAGAAGUCGAUAUUACAGGAGUUUCAACAGUCUCGUUUAUGGUCAACACUUCGCAAAUUCUAUGCUCGUUAUAACGAUCUAAUUUACCAAUACAAUCUGCCGUUGUGUCAAAUUAUAUCUAAUGUUUUUCAUACUAAUUAUUCGGCCAUUCUUUACCCACUGGCGUUGACUGCGGAUAACUCCAUUUUUAAGGCUCAUGGUAGAUGUGCCCGGUCGACAGGGGAUGCUUAGUCGACAGAUAGGGAAUGCUUACUCUUCUUAAACACCUGUUCCCAUGUAUGGUUUACCCAGGGGUCCAUGUUCAUCCAACUCUUAAUUUUGUAUUGCUUAUAAUAGAUAUACGUUUCAUCACUGUUCAACAUUGUUCAUUAUCUGCAAAUCCUCUGCAUACAAAUACUUCUUAUGUAUAUAAAUAUACAUUAAAGUGUCUGUAGCUGCGUCAAUGCAUCAAAAACUCCUUUUGCUAACGUUGCUAUUUUAUUUAUCUCCAAGUAUCUUAAUCAAAAAAUAUUUCCUGAUUAACCUUAAUUGAUCAACACUCCCAUGAUGAACUAUCUAAUUUUGUAAACUUAUCCCAUUUGCGACAGCAUGGUAUUUGCACUAUAUUUGCCUUUGAACAAGUAAUUUAAAUCCAUCAUGAACGGUUUGUCUAUUUUCUAAUAAUUAUGUUUUCCAUUAAAUUUGUUGAUAAGACAUUAUCCAGUCAACUCGAAAUAAAAACAUCACAAAAUUUUUAACUGUGUUUUAUAUAUAUAUCUGAAUAUCUCUCUUUAUUGAUUUGGGACGUUAAUGGUAAACGAACACAUAAGGUUUAUGGCAGCUAAGACAAAUUAAGGCCCGUCACCAUCAACUUCCUAUAUGUAUAUAGACAUAUCCCACUAUCACUUGGGUAUGGUAUCUACGUUCCUCAACUGAUUCGAUAAACAAGUGCAUUAGUGUUUGAUUAAUUUUGGUUUGUAAUUUCGCAUUGACUCAAAACAAUUUACCAACUUAAAGUCUAUAUAGAUGCACGGGUGGCAACACCUUAUAAGCAAAUGUGUCCUAUAACGUGAACUAAUGUUGAAAAGUGGCUGUCGCAUUAAAUUCUCCUUAUUCUCAUUUUGCAUGUAAUGUAAAUAAAUAUGCUCUUAUUUUGCGUAUAUAUUGAACACAUCCCAAAUUCUGUUUGGAACCUCUUUUUACUGUGCCCUAAUUGGAACCUAACUUGAUUGGACUUUAAACCACCAGCCCGUGCGGAAUUCAGUUUGGACACGGCAGUCUAGCAGGAUUGACGUUUUCAUACUUCUCUGCAUAUCAGUUUAUAUUGAUCAACAAACCUUUUCCGAUACUAUACAAGGCGUAUACAUGAUGCAGCAUAUGAUCCAGCUUUUCUGAGGUCUUCUCCAUGUGGUCUACUACAGUUAUCCUCAUAUAAUCAGUGUAUGCAGGAUGUGGAGAGUAAUCGUAUAGUACAAGGGCAAACAAACUCCAGGAGUGAGUUCAUCCGUCAAACCCACAGAGGUCUACGCUAAUGAGCCAAGAUCAUAGACACUUGUGGAAUUAGGAUCAUGUUCUUUAUGAGAUAUUGUACAUAAUAAACUCUUUAUAUCUACA